CAGUCGCCACGGUAAUACGGAGGGGGCUAGCGUUGUUCGGAAUUACUGGGCGUAAAGCGCACGUAGGCGGCUUGGUAAGUUAGAGGUGAAAGCCCGGAGCUCAACUCCGGAAUUGCCUUUAAGACUGCCGAGCUAGUAGGUGAGAGAGGUAAGUGGAAUUCCGAGUGUAGAGGUGAAAUUCGUAGAUAUUCGGAAGAACACCAGUGGCGAAGGCGACUGACUGGACAAGUAUUGACGCUGAGGUGCGAAAGCGUGGGGAGCAAACAGGAUUAGAUACCCCUGUAGUCCCUGUCUCUUAUAC
rnacentral:rRNA from 1 species